CGGCUCGGUCGGCGAGGCGGCCGUGACCAUGAUCCGGUCGAAGGGCGCCUGUUCGGCCCAGCCCAGGCCGCC
rnacentral:tRNA from 1 species